rnacentral:snoRNA from 1 species
GAGCCUGUGAUGAAUAUAUAACCGUGCUGGAGGCGUCACUUUUUGUGAUCGUCGAUGAUGGCGCAAUUAACCUCUAAGAAGUUCUGAGCUC